rnacentral:rRNA from 1 species
CCUACGGGAGGCAGCAGUGAGGAAUAUUGGUCAAUGGACGAGAGUCUGAACCAGCCAAGUAGCGUGAAGGAUGACUGCCCUAUGGGUUGUAAACUUCUUUUAUAUGGGAGUAAAAUGUUCCACGUGUGGGAUUUUGUAUGUACCAUAUGAAUACGGAUCGGCUAACUACGUGCCAGCAGCCGCGGUAAUACGGAGGAUCCGAGCGUUAUCCGGAUUUAUUGGGUUUAAAGGGAGCGUAGGUGGAUUGGUAAGUCAGUUGUGAAAGUUUGCGGCUCAACCGUAAAAUUGCAGUUGAGACUGGCAGUCUUGAGUACAGGAGAGGUGGGCGGAAUUCGUGGUGUAGCGGUGAAAUGCUUAGAUAUCACGAAGAACUCCGAUUGCGAAGGCAGUUCACUGGACUGCAACUGACACUGAGGCUCGAAAGUGUGGGUAUCAAACAGGAUUAGAUACCCCAGUAGUC